AAUACCAAGGAUGACAAGCUAAAAAAGCUGGAAUGGAAAGUGAGGGUUGUAAAGGGCUGCUCAGAAUCCCACAGUGUCCAUUCCAGCUAGCGAACUCUGCAAGGUCUCUGUUGAUAGCAAAAUCCAGGCCUGUGAGAGAAGCUGGUAGAAGAAAUAUACAGGAAAAUGGUAGGCCCAAAGAGCACUUGUGAGCACAGGCUGGCUGGAGCCUGAUAGCACAAUGUUAAUUAUGGGAGCAGUAACCUGGGCAUGAUAGAGUUUGUAGGAGAAAACAAACCUUAAAAGGAAAUAAAUAACCUUAAAGUUCAGAUGGAAGGUCCAUUAGCCAGCAAAAUUGCUAUGACCAUGAAAACAAAAUGGUUACUUCAGGCAGCAGAUCAAGAAUAGAGAGGAGAAAAUUGAAAGAAUUGCCAAGAAGCCAUUAGAAUAAUGAAAAGGAAGCUAGAUAAUGAAUUUGACCUCUGCAUUAG
rnacentral:lncRNA from 10 species